rnacentral:rRNA from 1 species
UACAGAGGGUGCGAGCGUUAAUCGGAAUUACUGGGCGUAAAGCGUGCGUAGACGGUUAUUUAAGUCGGAUGUGAAAUCCCCGGGCUCAACCUGGGAACUGCAUUUGUGACUGCAUAGCUAGAGUACGGUAGAGGGGGAUGGAAUUCCGCGUGUAGCAGUGAAAUGCGUAGAUAUGCGGAGGAACACCGAUGGCGAAGGCAAUCCCCUGGACCUGUACUGACGCUCAUGCACGAAAGCGUGGGGAGCAAACAGG